AGACUUUUUCAAGUAUUAAAUGUUAGGGUUUCAGUCGCCAAAGUCUGGCGACUUGAUUCAGGUCGAACGCCGCCGAGUCGAAUACCUCAGUUACGAUGUAAAGUGAAUCGUAGAGCUCGGUUGCUGGAUGGAGUUGCUCAGUUCGCGCAUAACAAGGUCGAUUUGGAUUCAGAUCAGAAGCCUGAGAACAGCUUACCAAAAGAUAUUCAUGCUUGCUGAUGAAAAUUUCGG